rnacentral:lncRNA from 1 species
UCCCAUAUAUAUGCCUUCAUUGUCUUUCACUUGACCUUAAUCACAUCAAUGCAUGUAUGCCUAUUACUAAUACAAUGUUUAUACUAUUAUAUUGUAAUUUUCAGUUCCCUCUUUUCUAUUAAAUGAUUUUUUAGACAGAAAAUAAUAUUUACUAAAUAAUAAAUUCAUAUUUUCAGGAAUAUUUUCGGUCUUAAAACUUCUCA